rnacentral:rRNA from 1 species
UACGGAGGGGGCUAGCGUUGUUCGGAAUUACUGGGCGUAAAGCGCACGUAGGCGGCUUUGUAAGUCAGAGGUGAAAUCCCGGGGCUCAACUCCGGAACUGCCUUUGAGACUGCAUCGCUUGAAUCCAGGAGAGGUGAGUGGAAUUCCGAGUGUAGAGGUGAAAUUCGUAGAUAUUCGCAAGAACACCAGUGGCGAAGGCGGCUCACUGGCCCGAUACUGACGCUGAGGCACGAAAGCGUGGGGAGCAAACAGG